rnacentral:rRNA from 1 species
GAUCCUGGCUCAGGAUGAACGCUAGCUACAGGCUUAACACAUGCAAGUCGAGGGGCAGCAUUUUAGUUUGCUUGCAAACUAAAGAUGGAGACCGGCGCACGGGUGAGUAACACGUAUCCAACCUGCCGAUAACUCGGGGAUAGCCUUUCGAAAGAAAGAUUAAUAUCCGAUAGUAUAUUUUCUCCGCAUGGUGAGAAUAUUAAAGAAUUUCGGUUAUCGAGUGGGGAUGCGUUCCAUUAGUUUGUUGGG